CUAAUGUUGGAGAAUCUGGAGAGAAGAUCGGUGGCCUUUGCAGCAAGCGCACGAGCUUCCCAUGGCGUCGGAAUGGAUGCAUUAACAAAUUUGACCAAGACUAGGCAAUCGGAUUCGAUUAUCAAACAAUCUCGUUGUCUACCUUUCUCCAGCAAAUCGUGAAGGGUGGUGGUGAGGGCGACGAACUCUGCUUGCAGAGCCGAUGAUACGAUGCUACCUCUGGAAACCUGGAUCUGGUGGUCUCCACAGUUUGCCAAGAUCGAAUUGUUGUCGUCCUGUCCUUGGUGAGAGCCCUGUUCUAGUUGAUUUGCGAUAGGAAGAAAGAGUAGAACGGGCGAUAGCGAUGGUUACAUCCACAACUCGAAUUGCGUCCAAACGAUCACCACAAAAUAUAAAGCCAUUUCGUGCUUUCCAUAUCUGCCAGAGGACAAAGGCUACCGUCUUUGGAUCAGCCAGAAUGCUUUGAAAGUAAAGGAUUUGUGGCGUCGUCCCUUUAAAGCUUCCAUAGAUAACGAUAAUGGAUUGUGAUCCGAGCCCACUACUGUGACAGGGAUCACCUCACUCUUGGAAGUAAAAGUAGGAAAAGAGCCGUCAUGAAGCUGAAGUUUAACGGAGUCAACAAGAGGAAAGUUUUAUGUUACCGAUAGUUUCAAUUUUUCAGUUUCCAUUGGAAAGCUAAUCUGUUUUGCAAUCUGAGUAUCCUUUCCUUGUGCAAGUAUUUGAAAUGUAGAUCGAUUAUUUGGCUGCCUCGCUGCAUUGUUGAGUUUUAGAAAAGGUUGCUACAAAUCUUCAUUAUGUUUCUCAUGGCAAGGAGGUAAUGCUGGAAGUAUACGAGAGGGAGGGGGGUCUCGGGAAUUACUUCUUCAACAGGUUGUUCCUGUGCCUCAUAGAAGGUUCUCCAGUAAGGACUAAAUUCUUUAACUUCUACCUUCAGCCACUGACCGUAAGCCAUCUUUUCUUUGCCUUCCAUCUUAGCUUCUGUGAAAGGAAAUUACUUGCAAUACAUUGCGUAAUGGCCUAAUUUUCCACAAGAGUAACAAAAGUAUGGUAGGCGUUCAUAUUUGAAAUCUAGCCAUAUUGCUUUCCUAGCUAUACGUAUGAGUUGACAUGUUUUCAAGAGUUCGUCUAAUAUAAUUUCCACACGAGCUCUGCCAGUUUCAUUGUCAUUCCAUCUUUAGUUUCUAGCUUUACAUCAAGCACUUUACCAAUGUGUUUAACAGCUUUGGAAAUCAUAUAGUCAAAGCAUCACUCUAACGGCAAGCCAUAGACUUGAAUCUAGAAUGCACAGGUGGAAAAAUCAUAGCAAUGUAGAGGCGUAUUAGGUAGCCAUGGUUUAAAGAUAACCAAAUGGCUGGAGAACAGCCAUGGCCCACCUUGUUGUACCCUCUGUUUUUCUUCAACUAAUUUAAAUUUAGCUACGUAAAUACCUGCAUCACGCUGAGUAAUAUCGACUUGUUCUGUUCGCCACGCUCUCUUUAAAGUAUUCUAAAAAGCAUGAAAGUUUAUGGAGGGAUUAGAUAGGAUUUUACCUACAAGCAUCAAUUUACACUCUUCCACUUUUUCCAUCGGCGGCAUCUCAUCCCAGUCUUCUACUUCCUUAGGGGACCAGAGGUGACCCAAUUGUUGACAAAGAGCAGUUAGGUGAGGAUUGUCUUCUUGGUUGAAGGGAUCCAUAGCUUGCGAACUCUAGAGCACAGCGUAAAAGUAAUAAUGAUGGAGGUCAAGUCAAAGCUUACCCAGAUAGCUAGUUUCGAAGGACAUGCAGAGAAAUUGGGUAAGGUCGAUUGGAAUAAGCUGACGUGGGUUGCUCUGAGGAAAGUUCGGCAUAUUGAAAAUUGUAAGAGAACCAGGCGUUUAGAAUCAAUUAGCAGGGGAAACAAUUGUUGGAGCUCGAGAAGAAGAGGCUGAAGGGAUGCAACCGAUACGUCUGGAUAAACUUGAUGGGAAGGGACCGGUAGGGAAAGUCAAUUGUAUGAGCUCGAGAUUAAGAGUGAGAGAGGGAACGACCGAAAGCCAUUGAUGAGGGCUUUGAUGAAAAGAAACGGAUUAGGGUUGUAGAAUUUCACCAACAAUGCGAAAUUAGGGGAAUUGACGAUUUAGGGUUAACAAAAUAAAGACUACCAUGGCGGUAGGGGAAAGCUCUACAUAUCGAGAGAGAGAGAGAGAGAGAGAGAGAGAGAUUCCUUGAUUAUGUCUUGUUCUUUGAAUGCUAUAAAAGGACUUUGAAUAAUAAGGAAAGACUUUGAGCGUGA